GUUAGCCGACGCUUAUUCCAAUGGUACCGUCCUUCCUCGUCCCACUGAAAAGGAUUUUACAACCCGAGGGCCUUCAUCAUCCACGCGGCGUCGCUGCAUCAGACUUCCGUCCAUUGUGCAAUAUUCCCUG
rnacentral:rRNA from 1 species